GAUGAACGCUGGCGGCGUGCCUAAUACAUGCAAGUCGAGCGAACUGAUUAGAAGCUUGCUUCUAUGACGUUAGCGGCGGACGGGUGAGUAACACGUGGGCAACCUGCCUGUAAGACUGGGAUAACUUCGGGAAACCGAAGCUAAUACCGGAUAGGAUCUUCUCCUUCAUGGGAGAUGAUUGAAAGAUGGUUUCGGCUAUCACUUACAGAUGGGCCCGCGGUGCAUUAGCUAGUUGGUGAGGUAACGGCUCACCAAGGCAACGAUGCAUAGCCGACCUGAGAGGGUGAUCGGCCACACUGGGACUGAGACACGGCCCAGACUCC
rnacentral:rRNA from 2 species